AUCCAGUCGACGAGUCCCAAGUAGGACGAAAUGCGCAUCCUGGAU
rnacentral:hammerhead_ribozyme from 1 species